GCUGGGUGUGGUGGCGUACACCUGUAGUCCCAGCUACUUGGGAGGCUGAGGUGGGAGGAUCACUUGAGCCCGGGAGGUCAAGGCUGCAGUGAGCCAUGAUUGCCCACUGCACUCCAGCUUGGGUGAUAGAGCAAGACCCUGUUUUUU
rnacentral:SRP_RNA from 1 species